rnacentral:sRNA from 1 species
UAGCGAUUGGUUGCCUUGAAAAAGGCAGU